rnacentral:other from 1 species
ACGGUUCUGCUUUGUGCGUGAUCGUCCCUUGCGGACCUUCGGCUCAAUUAAACCCACAUCUCUUAUAAGGGAUGCCGAUUUGAAUCUGCGGAUUGCAGGCCUCCCGGCGCCUUUGCGUCGGACGUUGGAAGCAGAGAAACAGAGCUUAGGCGACCCACCUGCCAUGCUGUGCAGGUUAUAAUCGAGCCACACGGCAAAAGCGGAAUUACA